AGAUGCCAGUUAACUGUCGAGAGGGGACGCUCCCUCCUCGUAGGCGUCCACACUGGAGAAGGAAUAAGAUGGGCGAUUGCCUGGGAAGCCUGACAGGGCGGCGGCAGCUGGGAUGCUGGAGAGGACUGGCCCCUUGAGUUACUGAGUCCGAUGAAUGUGCUUGCUCUGCUGGAGGAACCGCGCUCAGGUUACAGUCAUCCCAAUAUGGUUCUGAAGGUGCGUGGUUCAGGUCACUUAGGACUUGACCAGAUACCGGGUUUCUUUUACAAGCCGUUUCUGACGGUGGCCUGUUUCAACUACUGGCAGAGCUCAUGUAAAACAGACUUUUAAAAAAAUUUGGGGGGCUUUUAGUAUUUUUUUCUUAUUCCUAUAUUCUGAGGAUAUUUUAUAGUAGUCCCACAUAUGGAAUUAGAUAAUCUCUUUUUUGUUUGAUUAACAGUUUUAUCAAGUAUAAUGUACAUACCAUAACGUUCACCCAUUUUAAUGGAUUCAAUGAUUUUUAGCAUAUUUACAGAGUGGUGCAACCAUCAGCAUAAUAGAAUUAAGGAAUCGUGAUUUUUUUUUUCUGGUAAUUGCUUUUACAGUUCUCAAAGUUUGCACAAGCGGAUAUUUUAGAGGUACAGUGUAAUAUAAGAGCUUCUGAAAAUGUCCACUUAAGUUGUUUUAUACCUGAGCAAGUGAAAUUAAGAAGGGAAUUGAAGCAAAUAUUCCUGGUAAGUUGUAGGGAGUGAAACUUUUGUGUCUUGUAAUACCAAGUAGAUAUUGACCAUUUCAACUGGUUUUUAUGCUGAGGAAAUGCAUAAACCCCAUUUUACAGAUGAUGAAAUCGACUUUGAAGGAUAAGUUGCCUACAGCUGCAUACCUGUGCCUGGGCUAGGCCCCAAACCCAGAUGCUUUAUCUCUCAAUUUGUUACCCUUGCUACCUCAACAGCUUGGUUUUCAACCAUGGUACUGAUGAGUGUGAACAGUACAAGCCAUUCAUUUACUGAGCAAAUAAUUAUUGAGUGCCACUCUGUGCCAAGAACACUGCUAUAGGUGCUAGAGAUAUUAUUGAAUCAGAUACCGUAGUGAACUGUUCCUGCCCUCAGCUCAUCUUCUGGUGGGGAGGACAAUGAUCAAGUAAAGAAAUAUAUAGUUUUAGAGAUUCAUCUAUUUUUUUAAUAGGUAAAUUAAAAGGGCAAGGAAUGGCAGUGGGAGGCAGAAUCUGAUGAGAAAAAUCUGAAUGAAGAGAGGAAGUUAGGAUAUAAGAAAGAAAGCAAGGGUUUGAUUUGAGCAAGCGCAAAAAUAGAGUUGUGAUUUACUGAAUUGAAAUAAGGUGAUACUGGAAGGACCAGGUUUUGGGGGUACAAUCAUAAGUUUGGCUUUAAAUGUUUUUAAAUACCUUGCCUCUUAGACAUCCAAGUGGAGAUAUGGCAUUUAAAUUCAUGAGAUUGGAUGAGAUCCCACCAAAGGAACAGGUUUAGGUGGAGACAACCAAAUACCGAUGCCUAGGACACUGCAGUGUUUAGAAUUCAAGGAGAUGAGAAGGAAACAGGAGGGAAGAUUGAAAAGAAGAGUCCAGUGUGUUAUGAGGAAAACCCCAAGAGCAUGCUGCCUUACAAGACAGAUGGAGUCCUCCUCUGUCACCCAGGCUGGAACGCAGUGGUAUGAUCUCGGCUAACUGCAACCUCAGCCUGCCAGGUUCAAGCAAUUCUUCUGCCUCAGCCUCCCGAGUAGCUGGGAUUACAGGUGCCUGCUGCCAUGAUGAUUAAUUUUAUGUGUUAACUUAGCUGGGCUGUGUUGCCCAGAUAGUUGGUUAAACAUUAUUCUGGAUGUUUCUGUGAAGAUGUUUUUGGAUGAGGUUAACAUUUAGAUCGGUGGACUUUGAGUAAAGCAGAUUACCUUUCAUAAUUUGGGUGGGGCUCAUCCAAUCAGUUGAACAUCUGAAGAGACCAAAAGACUGACCUUCUGCAAGCAAAGAAAAAUUCUGCCAACAGACAGCCAUUGGACUUGAACUUCAACAUUGACUCUUCAGUCUAUUGGCCCACCCUGCAAAUUUUGGACUUGCCAAGGCAGGGUUUCACGACAUUGCCCAGGCUGGUCUUGAGCUCAAGUGAUCCAUCUGCCUUGGCCUCCCAAAGUGCUGAGAUUACAGGCAUGAGCCACAGUGCCUGGCCCAAAUUAUUGUAGUUAUUUCCAAUUCCUUUCCCCCUUCUCACAUCCCAAUUAAAGAAUUCCACUCAGGAAUUGUUGUAGUAGAAGUGCUUUAGUCUGUGUGCUACGGUUUGGAUACUGUUUGUUUGCCAAGUCUCAUGUUGGAAUUUGAUCACUAAUGUUGAAGGUGGAGCCUGGUGGGAAGUGUUUGGGUUGUUAAGGCAGAUCCCUUAUGAAUGGUGUGGUGCCCUUCUAGAGGGAGUAAGUUCGUUCUCACUCUUGGUUCCCACAAGAUCUCGUUGUUGUAAAGAUCCUUGUACUUACCCCUCCUCUCUCUCUUGCCUUCUCUUUCACCAUGUGAUCUACACACACAGUAUCAUAAGGCAUCUUUCUGAUCCUUUAGUGUUCACUCUCCAGUACCUUUAAUAUUUGCCUUCAAAUUUCUCAAAUUUCUUUAUUUACUUCCAUUUUUCUCCUACAAUAAUUGUAGGCGUACUUAAAGUAGAAUUACAAUAUAAAUAAUAUUUUA
rnacentral:lncRNA from 1 species